GACGAUGCUGGUGCCGCCGCUGCUGGCAGGCUGGGUGGAACCAGGGCCCCCCUCUGCGCUCUGCCAUGGCAGCACCCUGCUGGGCACCCCAGCCACAGAGGGCCCCAGGUGGGCCAGAGCCUGGAGCCAGGUCUUGCAGGGGGAUCUCACCUAGGGAACCCCACCCCCAGCUUGGCUGGCACAGGGGAGCUGGAAUGGCCAAAUGGCGCCUGACAGAUGUGUCACCCCUGGGUACUAGGAGUGAGGGGGGUUAAUAAUCUCCGCUUGGCCACUGCUGCCAGGCCUUCCCCAGGCUGAGCCAGUCUGGCACAUCCCCACAUUGGCUGUCCGGCUGCAAGAAGAGAACUGGGUCCUGCACCUCCAGCCCUGCCUGCCUACGGAAGGGCCAAACUAACCCAAUACAACACAGACUGGAAGCGAGAGCUUGAGUCCAAGCACUUGAAGAGCUUCCCAAGCCACUUGUUUCUAAGAAGGGCCUGACAUCUGGAAUAGCUGCAAAUCUAAAGAAGUUUGGGGACAGGGUCCAUGGAUAGGGCCGUGAUUUUCAAAAGGUACCAAGAUCCAGAUGCUCAGAAAAGUCCAGCAUGUCACGUGCUGAGCCCUUCUGAUCCCAUUCCCCCCAGGGCUGGGUGCUGAGCCCUUGGAAAUCUGGCCCUGAGCUGGAUGGAAAAUUUGGCCCUAUAUGUCUGUGCAGUGUCUAGCACCCGGGGGCCGGAGCUUGGAUAAGGUCUGGGGGUGCUGUAUGAAUAACUGUCAAAUCCAGUUUGCUCACCCCUGUUAAAGGGCUGGGUCAUUCGCUGCCAGGCCAGGCACGCAAGGGUGCCAUACAAAGUAACAUCAUCAAACAAUGGACAAACUAGAGCACAAAUGAUAAACUGUAGCAAGAUUGGCGCAGAACACAAAGCCUCUGCCUGAGCCCGAGGACAGUUCAGAUAACGGCCUAUCUCAGCUAAACCAUAGCAGGGCCAAGCAAGCGGAGUGAUUCCCCCUACACCCAGCUGCAAACGCUCAGUCUCCGGUAUCUCUAACAGCAGCGACUCCACAGCUGGUUCGCUGAUAAAGCAUUCUGAGGGGCAGCUCCUUAGCUGGUGUGAAUUGUCCCAACUCCCUUCAUGGCUCUUCCCCGUAGAGACUUGGGGCCAGAUCCUCAGCUGGCAUAAACCCAUGUCACUCUGCUGGCUCCAUGCAGCAGCAUUCAUUUCAAUUGCUGCUCCGCCAAUUGGCACCCAAGUCUUGAACCCAGGGCCUUGGCAGCCCUCACGGUCCAGCAGCACCCAGCGCUAUUGGAAGCGAGAGGCUAGCAUACCUCUGCCUCCUCCCAGAGGCCCCACCCACUAGGGGGACAAUGACUGGCCCCUCUGAUUGGCCCAACUAUCCUAUUUAAGCCAGAAGGAGGCACAGGAAGUUGUCUGAACAAUUGGACGACUUCCUGACUGGCUGCUGUACUGCACCUGACCUGUGCCUUGAUCCCUGGUUCUGAUUCCAGCUCUGGCACCUGGCCCGGUUCCUGAUUCCGGCUCUGACACCUGGCCUGGUUCUGAUUCCGGCUCUGAUGCCUGGCCUGGUUCUGAUUCCGGCUCUGAUGCCUGGCCUGGUCCCACAGGGGCCCCCAUGAGAGUUUUUCAGGGCCCCUG